rnacentral:lncRNA from 1 species
AUGUAUGUAUUUGAGAGAGAGCACACAGGAGCAAACGGCAGGGGAGGCAGAGGGAGAAGCAGGCUCCCUGCUGAGCAGGGAACCCGGAUGCGGAUGCCGGCUCGACCAGGAGCCCAGGGCCCGGGUCAUGACCUGAGACAAACGCAGGUACUUAACCAACCCAGCCGCCCAGGGGCCCCCAAAGGGGCCCCUUUAAAGACAGAUCCGACUUCCUUUGCUCUUUUGCAUUUCUGUAAGUGUGCAGACCUGGGCAUUGGCUGCCUGCGCAACGUGGGCCACGGCAGCCUGUCAGUUCGCACCCCCUUGCGGGCUGUGUGGGCUGCUCCGGGGUUGCCCCGGGCCCCGGGGCCAGGCCAGCCUGCCGCGCCGCACAUGCCUCCUGCAGGGGCCCCAGCCACCCCGAUGGGGAGGCCACAUCGUCCAACGGCUCCAAACGCCAGGGCCAAGCCCCCGGGACCAAGGAGUCCCGCUGAAUGGAGGGGGGCACCCAUCUGCGCUCGAGCAGCCUGGGCGGGAGGCAGCGCGGAGGGAGCUUCGCCGCCCCGGGGCUGGGGCCUGACCAACGCGCCUCCCGCCUCAAGGCCCACGCGGGGUCCCGGGGGCCGACCCCCCGCGCGUCCCCCGCGCCCCUCGUGGAGCCUCCACACCGGCGGGGGGCGGAGCUGGUCGGCGGAGAGGCCGGGCCUGGGCGGAGGCCAGCCUGGGCCUCCCGGGCCUCUGCAGGGAGCCAGCGAACCCCGCUCCCACACCUGCUCCCGCACCUGCUCCCGCACCCUCACCCGCUCCCGCACCCUACCGCACCCCACCGCACCCGCACCUGCUCCCGCACCCCAUCCGCACUGCUCCUGCACCCGCACCCCACCGCACCCGCACCCACUCCCACACCCCACUGCACCCGCACCCGCACCCGCACCUGCACUCGCACCCGCUCCCGCAUCCCAUCCACACCCGCUCCCACACCCCACCCGCACCCGCACCCGCUCCCGCACCUGCACUUCACCCGCCCCGCACCCGCACCCGGCUGGGUCCUCUCUGGCUCGGAGUUCUCUGAUUUACGAAUGA